AUUGAACGCUGGCGGCAGGCCUAACACAUGCAAGUCGAGCGAGCGGCGGACGGGUGAGUAAUGUAUGGGGACUGCCCGAUAGAGGGGGAUAACUACUGGAAACGGUAGCUAAUACCGCAUACUAUCGGAUAACCCAUAUGGGAUUAGCUAGUGGGUGAGGUAAUGGCUCACAUAGGCGACGAUCCCUAGCUGGGCUGAGAGGAUGAGCAGCCACACUGGGACUGAGACACGGCCCAGACUCCGCCGGAGGCAGCAGUGGUGAAUAUUGCACAAUGGGGCCAAGCCUGAUGCAGCCAUGCCGCGUGUAUGAAGAAGGCCCUAGGGUUGUAAAGUACGUUCAGUCGGGAGGCGGUACCGGCAGAAGAAGCACCGGCUAACUCCGUGCCAGCAGCCGCGGUAAUUC
rnacentral:rRNA from 1 species